AUUUUGUAAUUCAAGGCACUUUACAUCAGUCAUAUUUUACUCAUCCAUGGGUUUGUUUUUCAUUUUGCAGAACUGCUGUGAGAGAUUCUUCCCAAGGUGCCCUUACAGAGGUUGACUUUUGUCUGGAUCAUCUAUACAUGAACGUUUGGAGCCCUCUCAGUACUGCAUGCUCUUGCGUUCAGAUAAGUUUCUGGCAUUGAUUAACUGUAAUGGACUGCAGUGCAUGGAUUGCAAGGGGGUCAUGAAGAGAUCACGCAGCUGACUCAGGGAAGGGAAGGAGGCAUUUGUAUGGGGGAGUGCAGAAGAAGCAAGAGACAGCAGAAGACUGGGGUCACCUUGCUCAGAAGAGCUGUGAGCUGGUCGCUGAUGGAGGCAGGAAGGAAACCAAGCAUCAACGACCCAACCAUAUGACCCAGGUCAUAUCUGGACUGGAGAAAAGAAGACUAAUGGCUCAGGUUUUCAAGUAGGUUACUCUCAUAACCAGAGGCAGAUGCCUGUCUAUCACUAGUUUUACUGGAUUGGAUUAACACCAUAAGCACAUUUUUUCUGUGUCCUCUUUAUUUCAUCUCUGAUGGCAUUAUGAACUCAUCUGGAAGGUUAGGGAGGGAGGUUGCCCAAGGCAGGGCUUGCAGCACACCCCGGCAGGGCACACUGG
rnacentral:lncRNA from 1 species